GCGGUGUCAUUAUGUGGUGUUGAGGUGCGUUGUGUCAAGGUGCGGUGUCAUUAUGUGGUGUUGAGGUACGUUGUGUUGAGGUGCGUUGUGUCAAGGUGCGGUGUCAUUAUGUGGUGUUGAGGUACGUUGUGUCAAGGUGCGGUGUCAUUAUGUGGUGUUGAGGUACGUUGUGUCAAGGUGCGGUGUCAUUAUGUGGUGUUGAGGUGCGUUGUGUUGAGGUGUGUUGUGUCAAGGUGCGGUGUCAUUAUGUGGUGUUGA